ACGUAGGACACGCAAGUGCCUCGCCUCUAUCGACCAUCUCUUUGAGCAUCGCAGCUGUCCUUUUAGAUUCAUGAUGUUACAGUUCUUACCUGACAGGUGAGACAAUUAUCGGCCCCGCACACGGGGCAUAGGAAAUUGUGCACAUCAUCAUCGUAAAUGCACCAAGCAGGACAAUCUGGCGUUUUACAGUGGAAGGCCUUGUUUCCAGCGUUAUUCUCCGCUUGCGUGAUCGAUUUCGCAAGGUGCUGCUGAUAAACUUCCGGCUCGACGACCUAAGUGUAAUCAAUAAUAGGAUCAUCUACUUUAUUAAAACUUUUGGCGAUUGAUAUCUUCAAUCAAAAAGAGAAGCUCACCGCCUUGAUUUCGCGUUCUUGAAGAGUUGAUUCACACGUAUAGUCAGUAUCUCUGUAUGGACAUUUCACCUCCGCCUCCUCGCAGUAUGCAAUCGUAUUGGCGAUGCAUGGCCUGUGCAUAUAUGAUGAAAUUCGUUCAUUAUACGCCGACACGCGCGCUUGUUUGCCUUGUUAAUUAUAAGUGAAGAAAUAAAUGUAAUUGUAGGUAUAUUCCUUUUUUUUUUUAUUUACGAAAUAUUUACCGCAUAACAAUCUAUAUUCAUGCAUGUAAUCAUAUAUUUUGCAGUAGCACUAGCAUAAUUAUUGUCGCAUUAGUAAUGCGCAUGAAUCAGCAUGAAUCAGUAUUAUAAAGCAGAUAAAUAUACAAAUGUGAUGCAUCAUAUAUGAGAUAUGACAUAUACGUAUGUAGACAUUCGAGCGAACUAAAUGUAAUGUUUCCGCGCGAUAUGAUAAAUUAAAAUCGAUGAGUGAUCGCAACAAACAGCUAUAAUUAACGAAAGUGAUUUAUUAUUAAUUGCCAUUAUAAAAAAAAAAAAAAACACAAACCAAAACCUAAGAGAUAUGUAAUCACUGUGAAAGUGACUUGUACUUUAUAGAUUAAACAAUAAUUAAAGCCGG